UGGUUCUGGCAUCGAUGAAGAACGCAGCGAAAUGCGAUAAGUAAUGUGAAUUGCAGAAUUCAGUGAAUCAUCGAAUAUUUGAACGCACAUUGCGCCUGACGGUACUCCGUCGGGCAUGCCUGUUCGAGCGUCAUUACAACCUUCAGGCCCUCGCCGGCCUGGUGUUGGGGCGCCGCGGUGCCUGGUCCUCCGGCUCCCUCAGGGACCGGCGGGCCGCCGCGGGCCCUGAAUUACAGUGGCGGAGCGACGCGAGUCCCCGGUGCAGUGAGUUAAACAACUCGCCGCGGGAGGAGCGGCGCGCCUGCCGUGAAACUCUCUCUGAAGUUUGACCUCGGAUCAGGUAGGAAUACCCGCUGA
rnacentral:misc_RNA from 1 species